rnacentral:antisense_RNA from 19 species
UUGAUGGUGUACUCCCAGUCGGAGUCGCCGUCCCCCAGCACCUGGGCGCCGAAGUACUCGCCGUCGGCCAUCACGUCGAGCACGGUCUGGUCGCCGUACUCGCCCCUGCCGAUCUUGUUGACCUUCCCGUGCGCCAGCAGGUAGACGGCGUCCGCCCGGUUGCCCGCCUCGGCGAUCACGUCACCGGGCUCGAACUCCUCCUGGCGGAACCGGUCGGCCAGCGCGGUGAGCGCGUCCUCGUCGUCGAAUCCGCGCAGCAGCGGCAGCUCGCACAGCUCGUGGGGGAUGACCCGGAUCUCGGCGCCGGUGUUGGUGAAGGUGACCCUGCCGUCGCCGAUGACGUAGCUCAGCCGGCGGUUGACCCGGUAGGUCCCGCCGGGGGUGUGCACCCAGGGCAGCAUGCGCAGGAGCCAACGCGAGGUGAUGCCCUGCAUCUGCGGAGCGGACUUGGUCGUGGUUGCCAGGUUCCGCGCCGCGGCCGUACCCAGGCUCAGCUGGGAACGCCCG